rnacentral:lncRNA from 1 species
GGGUGUGGUUCCAAAUUAACCGAGAAGAAAAUUAUUGGGUUUGCAUUAGAUGGAUUGCCAGAUGAAUACGCCCCUUUUGUCACUACGAUCAAUGCGCAAAAAGGAUUGGAUUUUGACGAUGUGUAUCAUCUUCUUAUAGCGGAGGAUCUGGCUAUCAAGCGGCGUCAGGCAACAUCGGCGUCUGCAUUGGCAGUAGCAGGGCAGUCUUCAGCUUUUGCAGCCCAUACGUCCAG